AACGUAGGUGGCGAGCGUUAUCCGGAUUUACUGGGCGUAAAGCGUGUGUAGGCGGGCGGGCAAGUACCUUGUGAAAUCCCACGGCUCAACCGUGGAACGGCUGGGUAUACUGCCUGUCUUGAGCCAGCUAGGGGCGACCGGAACAGACGGUGGAGCGGUGAAAUGCGUAGAUAUCGUCUGGAACGCCAAAGGUGAAAACAGGUCGCUGGGGCUGAGCUGACGCUGAGACACGAAAGCCAGGGGAGCGAACGGG
rnacentral:rRNA from 1 species